rnacentral:rRNA from 1 species
AUUGAACGCUGGCGGCAGGCUUAACACAUGCAAGUCGAGCGAGCGGCGGACGGGUGAGUAAUGUCUGGGAAACUGCCUGAUGGAGGGGGAUAACUACUGGAAACGGUAGCUAAUACCGCAUACCAUCAGAUGUGCCCAGAUGGGCUUAGCUAGUCGGUGGGGUAAAGGCUCACCUAGGCGACGAUCCCUAGCUGGUCUGAGAGGAUGACCAGCCACACUGUAACUGAGACACGGUCCAGUCUCCGACGGGAGGCAGCAGGGGGGAAUAUUGCACAAUGGGCGCAAGCCUGAUGCAGCCCUGCCGCGUGUGGUAAUAAGGCCUUCGGGUUUUAAAGCACUUUCAGGGAGGAGGCGUUACUCGCAGAAGAAGCACCGGCUAACUCCGUGCCAGCAGCCGCGGUAAUUC